AUGCUCGUUUAGAGUAAAAUAAUGAGUAUGAAGUUGGUAUGAUCAAAGUACAUUAUUCUUCUUUGUCAGACUUCAUUAUAUACUCGAGCUUGGCUUGACGUAUCCUUGGCAGACCGCUGAGAGAAUUGUGAUACCAGGGAAUUGAUCCUUGAAAUUGAAUUUGUUAUGAUUCAUUCCAAAAAUAUUACGGAGCUUCCAUAGAUGGUCCAUGAUUGUUGGUCUUUUCCUUCUUCAAAAGAGCAUCCCAUAUAAUUGGUCCUUAAGUUUGUUCCUUAAUCCAUGGAAUUGAGAGUUUUCCUUUUCGAUAC
rnacentral:lncRNA from 1 species